rnacentral:misc_RNA from 1 species
AAAUGUGAUAAGUAGUGUGAAUUGCAGAAUUCAGUGAAUCAUUGAAUCUUUGAACGCACAUUGCGCCCUUUGGUAUUCCUUAGGGCAUGCCUGUUCGAGCGUCAUCUAAACCUUCAAGCCCUGCUUGGUGUUGGGUGCCUGUCCCGCCUCCGCGCGCGGACUCACCUCAAAUCCAUUGGCGGCCCCCGCGUCGGCCACGAGCGCAGCAGAAACGCGAACUCGUGAGCCCGUCCGGGCGGCUCCCAGAAGCUACACCCACCCAGUUUGACCUCGGAUCAGGUAGGGAUACCCGCUGAACUUAAGC